ACACAUACCAAGCUCUCUCUACUCUCUCAAGAUGUAGCUCUAGUAGUAGUUAGUCUUGGUGGGAGCUCUGCUAGGAGUCUGGAGUAGUCUUCAAGAGUCUGGUAUAGCUUAGCCCUUCUCUUGUAAUACUUUCCUUAUUUUAAUAAUAUAUUACUUUCUAUACAAGUUCUACUUCAAGUCUUUUACUUUUAGUACUAGUCUUGUUCUCUAGUCAUGCUUUGUGUUGCAUGUAUUACCUUUAUUAGUGGUAGGCACUCAUGGCAUGUUUUUUGUCACUAGCUGGUGAUCUAGUCUUAACGUGAGACUACGAGUAGUAUCACAUAUUGUAAGUAUGGUGCUUAGACUAUGGGGGUACCUUGGAUUGUGGCUAGCCCUCCGGAUAGUUGUGGUAGUGGCAGGUGGUGACAGCCCUGUUUACCUAUGUAUUCCACCAUGUUGGGGCUAGUUAUUAAAUCAUAGGUCUCAUUGUGCUUUGUGCCUAAUCAACCCCCUAGGUGAGUUUUGGGUAGGUACGCUCCAAAGUGUUAGUGCAUCCUACCCUAAUCUUGGUUUAUGUGUACCAUCAAAGUAUGUUGCUAGAGGAUUGCUUGAAUAGAAGUAAUUUAGGAUUUUUUUGCUAUCUUUCAUAGUUUCAUCUCAUUUAGUUGUUACACUUCCACUUUACCCUUUUCAUGUGUAUAUCUUCUAUCUGUCACCCUUACUUUAUUGUAUAUCACUUUUCUCACUUUAGUCUAGAUGAUAUACUAGCUAGUAGACACAUGACGGUUAACUAUCACUAUCUUUAACCUUGCUUCCCUAUGGAUAAAUACGAUACCCUAGAAUACUCCUGGGUGAAGUGCUAUAACAAUAUUCUGUGCACUUGCAGAAUUAUCUACAUGAGCAUAAGAAAUAUCAACAGAAAGCAGGCCCUAAAAGAUACCAAACCUAUAGUUGACUCGAAAGCAAUGUCUUUGGAAAAUGAAAGCGCACUACAGACGGUGCACGUAAGAAGAGGUGGAAGAAAAUGUCAAUCCUAUGGGAGCUAUCUUACUGGAAAGACUUAGAGGUCCACCACAACAUCGAUGUCAUUCACGUGAAAAAGAAUGUUUGUGGGAGUUUGCUUGGGACACUCAUGAGUGAUAGAUGGAAAACCAAGGACCAUGCAAAAGCACGAGCUAACCUUGAAGAAUUGGACAUAAGGCCCGAGCUCUAUCCUGACAGUACCAGUGCCCAACCACCUUUAUCCAGAAUAUAUUGCCAGAAAAAACCCGAAUGGCAAUCAUGAACCUCUACUUAUUUAAUGUAAUCUCUCAGAAGGUCCUUGAUGAAGGAUCACUGGAUGAUCAUGAAAUGAACAUGUGUGAGAUGAUGUGUCUUCCCGAGCUUACUUCUCGCUGACUUUCUUUGACAUAUCCAUCCUAUAUUUGGUUAAGGAGAUCAGGUUUCUUGCACCGAUGUUCCUCCACCACAUGUAUCUGUACGAGAGAUUUAUGAGUACUCUGAAUAUCCAAACAAAAGAAGACUUUUGAUAAUCAGAGUACAAACCCCUUUGUUCAGUUGUGUGCUAACAAACUUAGAGAGUGAUCUCUACCCUUUUGCUCUUGUGUUUUCCUUCGUGGAGAUUACAGAAGCGACCGCAUCAUCGCCACCCAAUCAGUGCUCCUGAUCCAUUGAUUCUAGGUUGCGUAGGUUGGUUCUUUGAGAGUGUGAUUGGGUGAAUCCUUGGUUCAGGCUGCUAUAUAGACAUAGUGAUUGGCUCCUUGUGCAUGUACUCAAGUUGCACUAGUUGUCGCUGCUUGCAGCAAGUUAUUGGUUCUUCUUUAGCUAGUUAUAAACAUCAGAAUCCUAUGUCUGUAUUUUAGCGUACUUAUUGUACUCAUCAACAUCAUCCAUGACAUCAACUCUGAUAAUACUUUGUUUCCCAGAGGCAACCAUGUGCUUUGUAUUCCUCAUUGUGUGGAGGUUGUUAGCGGGUCAGGUAAAUAGAAAACUUGUGUGACACAUGAAGUGAGAACCCAAGGGUCCUAUAUUGUUGAGGUCCACGAUUGUCAACUCGUUCUCGUUCACUUGGUGUUAUUUGACCUAGCGGCAUCGAAACAGGGCUUUUUAUACCCAUUCCAUAGUCAAGUCCCCAUAUAUCAUCAAUGAUGCCAAAGUAUGGGGGUCCUACGUCCCAUUUCGUCGAUGGCUUAUAUCCAAAUGCCACAGUUUGGUUCACAUAUGUACUAUCCUUUGCGUUGCUAUAGUACAUGUACCCAUUGAUGUCGUAAGCUUGCUAUGAUGUCACUUGUCUUUGUGGGCCCGCAACCAACUUUUUGAGGGUAAUAUCAUCUCUGGUUUCUUCGUCUAGUAGGUUUUGCUCCUUCAACCAUGUAGUGAAUUGAUGCUUGUAUUGUUUCAUGACCCAAUCCUUUGUGCAGCCAUUACUGUCAACCCUAAUGGCAUCCAUGUGUUGAUCAAUAUAUGGUUGCAUCAGUUUUGUACUCUGAAGGACACUCUAAUGCACCCGACCCACUUCGUUGAAAUCCUUGUCGAUGAAGACUUUUCUCCCCAUGGAGCCCUUACCAGCCACCCUACCCUUGUGACGAGAAUCGGGUAAACCAAUCCCUCUCCAUCCUUUUAGUUACUCUUGAUAGCACUAGAUGACUUCUUUGGUAUUGUAACCCUCUAUCAUGGAGCCCUCUAGGUAAGGUCGAUUAUUAUGCAUUUAUUGGUUAAGAACCAACAUUAAUCGCUUGUAGGACCACAUUUCAUGUAAGUAGCAAGAGUGUAGUGCUUGUAUCUGAUGAACCAUAUGAAUCAUGAGAUGUGCUAUUAUAUAAAAAAGCAGGAGGUAAACACAUCUCUAGUUGGUUUUGUGUCUCCACUACGAAUUCAUGUAGGUCACGAAACUCAUUUUCACCAAUCAUCUUCAGUGAGGCCUUCGAAAAGAAGUAACACAUGUGGCCAUUUCUAAGAACUGUAGUUAAGCCCUGAUUGCAAUAGGUAGGAACACUGUCAAUAUCACAAGACAAUUGUGAGCCUUGAAGCAUGUUAAUGAUAGGUCCUUCAUUGGCACUAGCCUCUUCAUGUUGUAUGAAAACCCAGUGGGAACUUUUACCGCCCCUCAAAAAAUUGCUUAUCGUACUCCUCUCUUCUAGGGUCAGGUUGAAGCUACAAGCAACCAGGAGGUAUUUUCCAUUACCCUGAGGUACCAUGUGAAGCUCUGGCUUUACAAUUAGCUAUAGAUUCCUUUUCGUGAUUUCAGACCAUCCUUUUUCUUGCAUGUGCCAUCAAGGUAGCAAUGAGACUCUUAAACACAUUGUUGGACCUCCAAGUCUGACCAAUAAGGCAGAUACUUAAACAAGAUCGACUGUUUCUUAAAAGGUACACUAGGGACAGGAGGUGUGCUUCUAUCUCUCUUCAUCCCAUUCGCAUUCUUCUUUCGAAAGGCGAAAUUUAUGUUUUUCACCAUUUCAAACAUAUGUUGAUCGUUUUGAAGUACAUCCGAAGGGGAUUCAGUCUUCGGGUUGUUGUCAUAAAAUUUGAUGAACAUCUUGCUGCGGUAUAUGUGAGUUGUCUUUAAGAAGCAUCGGUACCUUAGGUAAAAUGUCUUCUUAGAUGCAUCCAAUUACACCCAUGUAGUACCAUCCAAGCAUACUAAGCAUCCUGUCUUCCCUUUGAUCUGUCUAGAAAAAACAAACAGCGCAAGGCAAUCAUUGGUAGUGACAAUGAUAAUGGAUCUACAUAGAACGUCCUCCUUUCUGAACGCAUCGUACAUCGGCUGUAAUACCUGGAUUCUAGUGAAUAAAACAGAGAGAAUAUUGGUUGUACCUUAUAGGGUUCUUCAUUUAGCAUGCAUAAAUAUAUAGAAGGUAACAUGGUUAAAUUCAUUAAUAAGUUAAAAUUUAUAGUUUCAUCAUGCUGGACUUUUGAUUGUGCACCUAGUUUUAUUUUGGAAUUCAAAACUGACUUGAAUUCAUAUUUGAAAACUGGAAUUUGAAAACAGAAAAUGAGAAUCGAAAAAAAGAAAUAAUAAAACUUGCGCUGGGCUGAAAACACCCAGCCGGCCCACCUCCUCUUUCUCUCCCCCUCACCUGCCGGCCUAGCUAAGCAUCCAUGCCGAUGAGCAGGGCCCACUCGUCAGCCUCGCUACCGCGUCACCCACGCGCACGUCUCUUUAUUAUUUCCAGCCAGUCUUGUGUCACCCUGGCGUCAGCAAUGACGUCACCUAUACGCUUACCCACUCGCUGACGGCUGGGUCCCUCGGACUACACUCCGUAUCAAGCGCGUAUGUCCCCAGGAAACGGUUACGACCGUAACGGCCUACCGUGAUUUCCGAUUUCCAGCUGCGUCCACCGCCUUUGUUCACCUAUUUAAGGCAGCCGGCCUCCAAAGCUCCGCCUCCCCGGUCGUCUAGAGAAGCCAAGCGGGAGAUUCCCCGUCGUGUGGCACGGCUGAUGAAGGGAGAGGGUGAGCGCAGGGAGCCGAGAAGGGAGUUCAGGUUCUUCAACGACGAAGCACGCAGGGGCGGGCCACGGUGCUUCCCCAUACCGCGCGGGAGUCGUCCGCGUCCGCGACUUCACCGAGCCGGAGACUGGAGCAUCGCUGUCGGAUCGAAGGGCACCGUCACGCCGAGACCUUCCGUAGGCAACCGUAUUUAUGCCGGUAAGACCACGUUCCUGUAAUUCGCCAUCCUCUCCGCUAUGCGUAGGUUCGAUCCGCGCUCCGAUCCAUACUCUAGGGCCGCUUAUCCGCCUGUCCGCUGGAUUUGCACCCUCCCGGUGCAUGGCGCCGCAAUCCGGAAUGUCGUGGGGAGGAAGAAGAUCCUAGGGCCGUUGAUCGGGUAAUAUGCGGUGGAGAUUAGACCGGCGUGUACCCGUUCGCAGGAUUUGAUCGGUGCCGUAGGAGGGGUGAUGGAGGGUGUAUAUGUAGUGGUAGUCGUGGCUGCUGCUCGGCCGUCGAACACAGGAUCGACGAUUCCAGUCACACCACAAUUCGUAAAACUCCUGAUCUAAUCUGGUCCGUUGGUGGGAGAUCGGACGGCUCGGGUUGAAAGAUACCCAUUCGCCGUGUAAUUUUGUUUGAGUCCCUGAGCUUCUACAUAUUCAACCCGCCGUCCUAGCCUAUAUAUAUAUAUAUAUAUCCUUACGGUCAGGUCCAGUUUUUCACAAAAAGGACCCUGUGCUUUCUAGAAAUCAUACCCGUAGCCCAGAGUGCUGGGAUAAUUAUAAAAAUGAUUCCGGAAAAUGAUUUCUGAUAUAAAAUUAAUCAGGAAACUUAGAUAAAUCAUAACUUCAUCGUUUUAACUCCAAAUUUAGUGAUCCUUGAACCUACGGUUUCGUGUCGAUUUGUAGAAUAAUAUUAUGCAGUUGUUCUCAUGUUUGGUCUAAUGUUAAAUUUUGUAUAUACAUUGUUUGUAUGUAUUGCUGCAAAUAGACGAGCAAGUGACCGAGGAACCCGAAGUAGCCCAAGUUGGAGAUUCUGAGCAGGAGCUCGCAGAAGGCAAGUGUGUCCUUGAUCACAUUCUUUGACCUAAUAAUGUUAGUUGUUAUGUUCUCACCAAUGCUUGCACUGUUAAGUUAAAUUGAUGGGACCUAAUAGGUUACCUAGUUUUGUUUACCUUACACCUUGCAUACAAAUGAAUUGUUGGGUAGUCUUGUUAUGCUCUACCUGGUUUUGGGAUUAAUAAUAUUUAUGAUUCAUGAUCAUGUUUCAAUAUGAUUUAUUAUAGUUGGUUUAUUAUUGUGCAUGACAAGAUAACUUUGUUUAAUUGGAACAUGGAGCUUAACUCGAGAAAACAGUGCAACCACAAGGACUAUAUGGCUCUGGUCUUGGCUGAUUAAUUAAGAAAGCUAGUGUGAGUUAAUCCUUUCCCGAAAGGGGCAAGCGGGGUGGAGAAGCUGCUGGUAUAGGGAGGUUCUCGGGUCGAUCUGUCUGUGAUAGCUUUUUGGACGAGGGAUUCCUAUAUCGUCUUCGGCCCAGAAACCGUAGCGGGUUCUCUCAUGCUAGUGGAACUUUGGAAAGGCCUCGUAGUGCUACCCUGCCUCGCCUCCUCGGUAGAGGUGUAUGGGGUCCGUACAACCCCGUGGCAGAUGGGUAUCACGACUUGUGGGUAAAGAUGUGCAACCUCUGCAGAGUGUAAAACUGGUAUAUCAGCCGUGCUCAUGAUCAAGAGCGGCUCGGGACUCUCGCAUGAUUAACUUAUGGAAUUAAAUUUAAUCUGUCAUAUGCAUUGCAUUGUGGGAAUUAUUAUUAUUAUGAUCUGUUAUUUUAUUGGGAUGGUAUACACUUAUACUUAGUAAUUGCUAAUAAAAUUUUGACCAACUUAUUAAAAGCAAUGCUCAGCCUUAACCAUUAUUUGUUUAUCAGCCUUACACUACACAUGAGCCCCCACCAUAACUGAGCUCAUACACAUUAUUCCCCACACUUGCUGAGCGAUGACCGUAUGGGAGCUCACCCUUGCUAUAAUCACACCAGGUCAAGAACAGGUACUGCAAGAUGAAGACUACUACGACGAGUUUGAUGAGAUCUAGGCGUCGUCUCCUAGUCAACUAGGGCUUGUGGAGGAUCAUCGUCGUCAUAUGGUGUAAUAUAUUUAGUUAUUUUGUAAAGAAACUCCGAUUAUUUAAUAAAGAUAUGACAUUGGUUUCUGUACGAUGAGUCAUCAUAUGUGUGAGACGUGAUCCUAGCACACAUUUGAGACGCGCCCGGGUUUGCCCUUAAAUCCGGGUGUGACAAGAGUGGUAUCGGAGCCAAUGUUGACUGUAGGACGUAACCUAGAUAUAAUUAGACUAACCCUUACCUACUUUCCUUUGCUACUCUGAUUCUUUCUGUACUUUCUUUGAUCCUGUCUCAUUUUUCACUGCUCUACUCUGACUACUCUUACCUUUUCUACUCUAAAGACAGACAGGAUUUCACACCUUGAAAUCCUAUAACUAUGAUUCCCUAAGAGAUAGGAGACCUAAUCAAAAAAAUGGUUUUGUAGGUCUAUAUGCGCUUGAGUGUUUGUUCUUAUGAUACCUUCUUGAUUUGGUUCUUUGAUUGAGUGAUGUAUUUGUGGGGUUAUAUCCACAAUAAAACCUAGUAUAGUAGGUACAUUCUAGCAUGUACCAACAUAGCUGUAGUAUAGUAAUGAUAGGUAGGUGGCACUCUAAUCAACUGAGCUAUUUUGACCUAAAAAGCCAUGUGUUGUGUACCGAGCUAUCUAUCUUAUCUACAAAUCUCUCUUACCCUAUGUCUCUAACCCAGAUGGUCAAUACCAGGACAGGGGGAGGAGUUGAUCUGCCUGCACGCAUACGUCGAAGAAGGGCAGUAAUUAAUUCAGAAUCGCAGAUGAAUCCCCCAAAUCCCCCACCUGCCGGAAUGGAAGCGUUCCUAACUGCCCAAACGUAGUUACUGCAGCAGAUGGCCAAUACAAUGGCCCAUAUGCAGGCUCAACUCAACAACAAUCAGCAGCACCAGCACCAACCACCUCCCAGAGACAAGCAUAGAGAGUUCAUGAGUCACAAGCCUCCAACCUUUUCCAGCUCCCUAGACCCAUUGCAAGCUGACGACUGGCUGAAAUCUGUGGAGAAGAUGCUCAACAUUGCCCAAUGCACUAACAGGGAAAAGGUGCUAUAUGCAUCGGGUCGCCUCACUGGCCCCGCUGCUGAUUGGUGGGAUGCGUAUUGCGCAGCACAUACCGCCACUGACACCAUCACUUGGGCGGAAUUCUCGACCAACUUUAGAAGCUAUCACAUCCCCGCCGGUUUAAUGAAGAUCAAGAAGAAGGAGUUUCUCUCACUCAGGCAAGGAGGGAUGUCAGUAAGCGAGUAUAGGGACAAGUUCAUUCAACUGUCCAGAUAUGCCCCCGAGGAAGUUGCCGACGAUGAGAAGAAGCAAGAGUUAUUUCUAGAGGGACUUAUUGGGCCAUUGCAGUAUCAGCUCAUGUCUCACUCAUUCCCAUCUUUGCAGAAACUUCUGGACAAAGCCAUAGCUCUUGAACACAAACGUGUUCAGCUAGGCGAGAUGAAGAGGAAGGCUAUCACCUAGGGUCAAACAGGCUGCAGCAGCCGCCCUCGCUACACUCAGCCUCAGGGUACCCUAGUACGUUCAGGAGGAGGGCAGCAGUCAUAUCAACGCCCUAUUCAGCAGUCACCUCAGGCCACACCUCAGACACCACACCCUCGUCAGGCUACCCCAGCAAAUACCCCAGCAAAACCUACGGGCCAGAACACUACUCCAGGCAAUGCUUGUUUCAAGUGUGGUGAAGUUGGGCAUUACGCCAAUAUAUGCCCUAAGAGAAAUGUAGAUACCACCCCAGCUCGAGGCAGUAACCCUAACAAGCAGACUCAAGCCACAUCCGGGAUCCGCGGCCAGCAGAAUUUUACCCUCGGUCAGGUUAAUCAGAUCAAUGCCGAAGCUACUGCCGAUGGUACAGACAUCGUCAUUGGUACGUUCUUCAUUAAUUCCAUACCAGCAUCUAUACCGUUUGACUCGGGAGCUUCGCAUUCGUUCAUCUCUGCUCAUUAUGUUAAUUAGCAUAAUAUACCCUCUAUAAUUAUGCGUAAACCCAUGGUAGUUAUCACACCUAAGUGACCUAUUGAAGCAACUUUUAUGUGCCACCAAAUCGACAUAACAAUCUUGGGAAGAAAUUAGUAUGGAUUUCACAGUCGGGUUGCCUCGCACCUCGAAAGGUUAUGAUUCCAUAUGGGUGAUUGUGGACAGAUUAACCAAAGUAGCCCACUUCAUCCCGGUCAAGACCACCUAUAAAUGAGCCCAGUUAGCAGAAUUAUAUAUGUCUCGGAUUGUGUGCCUACACGGGGUACCUAAGAAGAUUAUUUCUGACCGGGGAUCCCAGUUCACCUCAAGAUUUUGGAAGAGUCUCCAUGAGAACAUGGACACCAAACUGAAUUUCAGCUCAGCCUAUCAUCCCCAAACAGAUGGCCAAACUGAAAGGACCAAUCAGAUAUUGGAGGAUAUGUUGAGAGCCUGCGCUCUUAAACAUAGUGGCAGUUGGGACAAGAGUUUGCCCUAUGCAGAGUUUUCUUAUAAUAAUAGCUACCAGGCAAGUCGGAAGAUGUCCCCGUUCAAGGCACUGUAUGGAAGAAAGUGUAGAACCCCAUUGUACUAGAACCAGACUGGAGAAAGACAGUUCUUUGGACUAGAGAUCAUCCAAGAAGCUGAGGAAUAGGUCUAGAUGAUCAGGGAGAAUCUGAGAACCGCACAGUCCAGACAAAAGAGUUAUGCUGACACCCGAAGAAGACAGUUGGAGUUUGAGGAAGGUGAUCAUGUGUACCUAAAAGUGUAACCAAUCAGGGGCAUGAAAAGAUUCAAAGUCAAGGGGAAGUUGUCACCUCGCUUUAUUGGACCCUUUAAGGUCCUAAAGCGGGUUGGACAUGUGGCCUACCAGCUGGAAUUACCUAACCACCUGUCAGAUGUGCACGAUGUGUUUCAUGUGUCCCAGUUGAAGAAGUGUCUCAUGGUCACCGAGGAACAGUUGCCUAUGGAGGAGCUUAGUGUUCAGGGUGAUCUGACCUAUAUGGAGUAUCCUAUCAAAAUCAUCGAUACCCUCACCAGAGUCACGAGAAACAAAUUGAUCAAGAUGUGUAAGGUGCAGUGAAGUCAUCACGCAGAAGAUGAAGCUACCUGGGAGCGAGAAGAUGAGUUGCAAGCAGAGUUUCCCCAUCUUUUUCGUAGUUCGUCUUAAUCUCGGGGUCGAGAUUAUUUUUAAGGGGAAGGAUUUGUAAUACCCGGAUUCUAGUGAAUAAAAGAGAGAGAAUAUUGGUUGUACCUUAUAUGGGUUCUUUAUUUAGCAUGCAUAAAUAUAUAGAAGGUAACAUGGUUAAAUUCAUUAUUAAGUUAAAAUUUAUAGUUGCAUCAUGCUGGACUUUUGAUUGUGCACCUAGUUUUAUUUUGGAAUUCAAAACUGACUUGAAUUCAUAUUUGAAAACUGGAAUUUGAAAACAGAAAAUGAGAAUCGAAAAAAAGAAAUAAUAAAACUUGCGCUGGGCUGAAAACACCCAGCCGGCCCACCUCCUCUUUCUCUCCCCCUCAUCCGUCGGCCCAGCUAAGCAUCCACGCCGACGAGCAAGGCCCACUCGUCAGCCUCGCUACCGCGUCACCCACGCGCGCAUUUCUUUAUUAUUUCCCGCCAGUCUUGCGUCACCCUGGCGUCAGCAAUGACGUCACCUAUACGCUUACCCACUCGCUGACGGCUGGGACCCUCGGACUACACUCCGUAUCAAGCGCGUAUGUCCCCAGGAAACGGUUACGACCGUAACGGCCUAGCAUGAUCUUCGGUUUCCAGCUGCGUCCACCGCCUUUGUUCGCCUAUUUAAGGCAGCCGGCCUCCAAAGCUCUGCCUCCCCGGUCGUCCAGAGAAGCCAAGCGGCAGAUUCCCCAUCGUGUGGCACGGCUGACGAAGGGAGAGGGUGAGCGCAGGGAGCCGAGAAGGGAGUUUGGGUUCUUCAACGACGAAGCACGCAGGGGCGGGCCACGGUGCUUCCCCAUACCGCGCGGGAGUCGUCCACGACUUCACCGAGCCGGAGACCGGAGCAUCGCUGUCGGAUCGAAGGGCACCGUCACGCCGAGACCUUCCGUAGGCAACCGUAUUUACGCCGGUAAAACCACGUUCCUGUAAUUCGCCAUCCUCUCCGCUAUGCGUAGGUUCGAUCCGCGUUCCAAUCCAUACUCUAGGGCCGCUUAUCCGCCUGUCCGCCGGAUUUGCACCCUCCCAGUGCAUGGCGCCACCGUCCGGAAUGUCGUGGGGAGGAAGAAGAUCCUAGGGCCGUUGAUCGGGUAAUAUGCGGUGGAGACUAGACCGGCGUGUACCCGUUCGCAGGAUUUGAUCGGUGCCAUAGGAGGGGUGAUGGAGGGUGUAGAUGUAGUGGUAGUCGUGGCUGCUGCUCGGCCGUCGAACACAGGAUCGACGAUCCUAGUCACACCACAAUUCAUAAAACUCCCGAUCUCAUCUGGUCCGUUGGUGGGAGAUCGGACGGCUCAGGUUGAAAGAUACCCCUUCGCCGUGUAAUUUUGUUUAUGAGUCCCUGAGCUUCUACAUAUUCAACCCACCGUCCUAGCCUAUAUAUUUCCUUAAGGUUAGGUCCAGUUUUUCACAAAAAGGACCCUGUGCUUUCUAGAAAUCAUACCCGCAGCCCAGAGUGCUGGGAUAAUGAUAAAAAUGAAUCCGAAAAAUGAUUUCUGAUAUAAAAUUAAUCAGGAAACUUAGAUAAAUCAUAACUUCUUCGUUUUAACUCCAAAUUUAGUGAUCCUUGAACCUACGGUUUCGUGUCGAUUUGUAGAAUAAUAUUAUGCAGUUGUUCUCAUGUUUGGUGUAAUGUUAAAUUCUGUAUAUACAUUGUUUGUAUGUAUUGCUGCAAAUAGACGAGCAAGUGACCGAGGAACCCGAAGCAGCCCAAGUUGGAGAUUCUGAGCAGGAGCUCGCAGAAGGCAAGUGUGUCCUUGAUCACAUUCUUUGACCUAAUAAUGUUAGAUGUUAUGUUCUCACCAAUGCUUGCACUAUUAGGUUAAAUUGAUGGGACCUAAUAGGUUACCUAGUUUUGUUUACCUUACACCUUGCAUACAAAUGAAUUGUUGGGUAGUCUUGCUAUGCUCUACCUGGUUUUGGGAUUAAUAAUAUUUAUGAUUCAUGAUCAUGUUUCAAUAUGAUUUAUUAUUGUUGGUUUAUUAUUGUGUAUGAUAAGAUAACUUUGUUUAAUUGGAACAUGGAGCUUAACUCGAGAAAACAAUGCAACCACAAGGACUAUAUGGCUCUGGUCUUAGCUGAUUAAUUAGUAAAGCUAGUGUGAGUUAAUCCCUUCCCGAAAGGGGCAAGCGGGGUGGAGAAGCUGCUGGUAUAGGGAGGUUCUCGGGUCGAUCUGUCUGUGAUAGCUUUUCGGACGAGGGAUUCCUAUAUCGCCUUCGGCCCAGAAAUCGUAGCGGGUUCUCUCAUGCUAGUGGAACUUUGGAAAGGCCUUGUAGUGCUACCCUGUCUCGCCUCCUCGGUAGAGGUGUAUGGGGUCCGUACAACCCCGUGGCAGAUGGGUAUCACGACUUGUGGGUAAAGAUGUGCAACCGCUGCAGAGUGUAAAACUGGUAUAUCAGCCGUGCUCACAGUCAAGUGCGGCUCGGGACUCUCGCAUGAUUAACUUAUGGAAUUAAAUUUAAUCUGUCAUAUGCAUUGCAUUGUGGGAAUUAUUAUUAUUAUGAUCUGUUAUUUUAUUGGGAUGGUAUACACUUAUACUUAGUAAUUGCUAAUAAAAUUUUGACCAACUUAUUAAAAGCAAUGCUCAGCCUUAACCAUUAUUUGUUGAUCAGCCUUACACUACACAUGAGCCCCCACCGUAACUAAGCUCAUACACAUUAUUCCCCACACUUGCUGAGCGAUGACCGUAUGGGAGCUCACCCUUGCUAUAAUCACACCAGGUCAAGAACAAGUACUGCAAGAUGAAGACUACUACGAUGAGUUUGAUGAGAUCUAGGCGUCGUCUCCUAGUCAACUAGGGCUUGUGGAGGAUCAUCGUCGUCAUAUGGUGUAAUAUAUUUAGUUAUUUUGUAAAGAAACUCCGAUUAUUUAAUAAAGAUAUGACAUUGGUUUCUGUACCAUGAGUCAUCAUAUGUGUGAGACGUGAUCCUAGCACACAUUUGAGACGUGCCCGGGUUUGCCCUUAAAUCCGGGUGUGACAUCGGCUCCCCAUACCUCCAUAGCCUCUCCAUUUCUUGCACCAAAAGGCUAGAGGAACACAUCUAUAUCAACGCCUGGUUGUUUGGGAUCUUGAAUGAGAAUAGUGAGAAGAUACUUCGUCUUUUGAACAGCCACAUUGGCUUGUUGAACAUGGUUAACAUCACUGGCCAUGUGCUAUGGUCACUUUUCCUCCCAUUCAAGCGAUUCAGUCCAUCAAUGUUCAAGCCAAACCGUACAUUCCUUGGGUCUUUGAUAAAUUUGGGAUGUUUCGCAUCGAAGCAUUGCCACUAGGUAGCAUUGGCUGGGUGUCCAAUCUUACCAUUACCAACCUUGUGUUCAUCUUCCCACCAUGUCAUAAGUGCAACAUCCUUAGGGUUUAGGAACAUACGCCUCAAGCGAUCGAUGACUAGUAGGUACCACAUUACUAAGUCAGGAAUUCUUCUAUGCUUUGCAUCAUUGCCUAAUGGAGUGUCCUCUUGGGGUUAAGAAUCUUGUACCACCUUUUUACACCCUUCUUUCUCUUGUUCCAUGUGGAGGCUCCAUCCUAGUUGUAAAGGUCAUUGUUCUUGUACCGACUAGUGCCACACUUGGGGCAUUUAUCUAGUGACUUAAAUGUAUCACAACAGUAAAGGAUAUAGUGGUUCGGUCAUGCAUGGACUUUUUCAACCCCCAUUAUCAGUGGACUUAUAAUCUUCUUUGCUUGGUAUAUGGGGGCAGGAACUGAGUUUGGCUAUGGCAGGAACCAUGAAAAGAGAUGCAAUAGAUCAUUGUAACUACAAUCUGACCAACCAUACUUAGCUUUUAGGAUGAGCAACUCAAGCACAAAGCAUAGCACAGUCCAUUGUGCUCGACAACCCUUUUCAACAGCAUACAAAGUCAUGUUCGAUGCUUUUUCACCCUUUCUAAAAUUUCUAGACCUUUUGUGCUCUUUAGUAUAAUCUCUGGUCCAAGGGCCUGAAGCAUUUCCUCCAAAUAAUCGACAUCACCUUUGUCCCCAACACGUCCUCCGCCAUCAUUGCCACUAGCGUUGUCGAUACCAUCCCAACCACCAGCAUCACCACCUUGUUCAACCAUCCAUUUGUGCAUCAAGCCCAGCUACAUAUUGGUCCAGGUGUUGGCAGUCCUUAUUGCCUAAAUUUAACCACCAACACUCGCAUAAAAUCCAUUCAUACAAAUGUCGCACCCGGAUUUAAGGACAAAUCCAAAUGCACAAAUAUAGUCACAUAUAGUCACAAAUAUGAUAAUAUCAAAAGACAAUGCUUUAUAAUAACAUACGUAGUAUAGUCAGAGUAUAACCUUAUAUAGCAAUCAGCAGAUAGACAACUCCGUUCCUCAGGUGUAGACACCAACUCCACAGGGACAAUUGAAUGGUUGAUCACAAGCCUUGACUGUUGUAGUUGAAAUAGCAAGAGUGAGCACGUACGUAUUCAACAAAUAUAACAUGGG
rnacentral:lncRNA from 1 species